ACACGCUGGCGGCGUGCUUAACACAUGCAAGUCGAACGGAGAUUAUUAAUGAAGCUUGCGAUUUAAUAAUCUUAGUGGCGGACGGGUGAGUAACGCGUGGGCAACCUACCCAUAAGCGGGGGAUAACAGUUGGAAACGACUGCUAAUACCGCAUAAGCUAUUGAGGUCGCAUGACCUAAAUAGUAAAGGUGGCGAAAGCUAUCACUUAUGGAUGGGCCCGCGUCUGAUUAGCUAGUUGGUGGGAUAGCAGCCUACCAAGGCAACGAUCAGUAGCCGGCCUGAGAGGGUGGACGGCCACACUGGGACUGAGACACGGCCCAGACUCCUACGGGAGGCAGCAGUGGGGAAUAUUGCGCAAUGGGGGAAACCCUGACGCAGCGACGCCGCGUGAGCGAAGAAGGCCUUAGGGUCGUAAAGCUCUGUUGUAAGGGACGAAUGUUUAUCUGGCGAACAGUCAGAUAAAGUGACGGUACCUUACCAGCAAGCCCCGGCUAACUACGUG
rnacentral:rRNA from 1 species